ACGGGAGGCAGCAGUGGGGAAUAUUGCACAAUGGGGGAAACCCUGAUGCAGCGACGCCGCGUGAGUGAAGAAGUAUUUCGGUAUGUAAAGCUCUAUCAGCAGGAAAGAAAAUGACGGUACCUGACUAAGAAGCCCCGGCUAAAUACGUGCCAGCAGCCGCGGUAAUACGCAUGGUGCAAGCGUUAUCCGGAUUUACUGGGUGUAAAGGGAGCGUAGGCGGUUGUACAAGUCUGAUGUGAAAGCCCGGGGCUCAACUCCGGUACUGCAUUGGAAACUGUAUAACUAGAGUGUCGGAGGGGUAAGUGGAAUUCCUAGUGUAGCGGUGAAAUGCGUAGAUAUUAGGAGGAACACCAGUGGCGAAGGCGGCUUACUGGACGAUUACUGACGCUGAGGCUCGAAAGCGUGGGGAGCAAACAGGAUUAGAUACCCUGGUA
rnacentral:rRNA from 1 species